GCCAAGGUGGGAUUCGAACCCGCGUACCAUGAUCUCGAAGGGAGCGUUGUAACCACUGGGCCAUACAGGCACGCCUCCGUAGCAUGUAUUCAUGCGAACCAUAUUAUUGCGUUCGAGCGUCGUAGUCUUCCUCAAAAAAAAAAAAAAAUGGCGAUACGUCAUUGAGGCGAGGCCCAGCCUCUCCACGGAUUUGUUGUGCAAACAGUCGCACUACAGCACAGAGCGUGUUCCUAGUCCCUAGGGGCGUAAAACCAAAUACCUAGACUGAUCUAUGGAGCGUGUGGCUUAGCGUCUCGGCCCUCGGCAAAAGAAAGUACCUAGAAACAUGGUACGCGCGAGCGGCGCAUGGCGGCGCCAGCGAUCGAGCACUGGGCUUGGGCGCAAAUAGAAACUGGCGACCUGCGUAAGGGCCCUUUAAGAACAGCGUGCGCUUUUUUUCUCUUUUUUUCUUUCCGCGCAGCUAAGUGCACCCAUCAAGUACUUGCCCAAAAAUGUGUGCCGUCUUCCUCUAACUGUGCUUAGGUCAUGCUAUUUCUCGCUCCGGU